AACCGCACGGGAUAAUAGAUUAUCCCGUGCGGUCGGCUUAAGUCAACCGCACGCGAUAAUGUCCAUCAUCGCGUGCGGUU
rnacentral:pre_miRNA from 11 species